UGUGAUUGCCAGCUGCAGACAACAGCGCGCGCCCCAACAAAGCCAAAGAACGCUCCGCUGUGUUGUGACUGAGAUGAGGAUCGUUUAAACACGCUUCUGAUGGGAGUUCACGGAUGAUCCUGCUGACCUCGGCGGACCUGUGCGAUGUCUCUGGCCCAGCGGGUUCUUCUUCCUCCUCUUCCUCGCGCUGCUGGAGCUGAAGCUGAUGAAGGUCUGCUGGAGCUGGUUCCUGGUCUUCUGCUCAUCUGGGUGUAAGACAGCGAUCUGUUGCUGAUGCUGACCGGAGGCUGACCGUACGGCUGCUGGACCGGACUCGACCCGCGGCUGAAGAUCCUGAUAAACCGAGGACAGAAGCUGCUCUACACACAGAGGAUCCUCACAACAAAUGAUGAUUUCAUGUAGUUCAUUGAGAAAGAAAAUCUAUUUAUGACAUUAUUUUUGACAGCAUCCUCAUCUCACAGCAUUUUUACACAAGUGCCUCAAACCUUUAACUGCACUGGAGCUUUACAGAAGGUUUCUUGAAGCGUAAUUACUGUAUACUUACAAUUGAUGGCUAAAUGAAUGUUUGGAAAUAUGAACUGAUAAUUCCUGCUGACACACUACAGCAAAAAAUAGAAAUAACUAUAAGAUAUAAUAAUAAUAAUAAUAAGAUAGACUUCAAACCAGUUUCUAACGGCUGGAAAUAACCUGCGUUCUGAUGAUUUAGGCCAGCGCUGUGUGAAGAUGUUUGUACAUGAACACUCCUCCGUGUUUCUACAGAGAGCAAACAAUCCACUGUUUCUGCUCCCUCUCUCUCUCUCUCUCUCUCUCUCUCUCUCUUUUUAAGAAAUUUGACUCUUAAAUGAAUUUUGCACAUUUGAGUUUCAGUGAUAUGAGGUUUUAUGUUGUGAUGGAGUUGAAGCUCUCACUGCCAGCAGAUGUAUUUUCUGUAGCUGAAGGUACAGACAAUCACAAUAGUGUAUACUGUAUCUCUGAGCACAGACUCCUGAUACAGCCGUGACCGGAUCUUCAGCAUGACCUGAUGAAGAUGUUACUAAAUCUCAGAUUAGGAUGAUGUUAUCUAAUCAUUGGUAAAAAACUACAUCCUCUGAAGAUUACUUCUCAUUGUGCUGUCACCGUACACAGAUUUACAGGCAGUAAAAUGAUAUGAUAUAAUGAUUUGGAUCUGAAUCUAAA